UGCCCAGCAGAAGCUUCUAGAAGGGAAUCAAGCACAAUAUGUAAAGGAAUCUUCUCAUGAAGAUGUUUCAAAGAACCCUUCUGUUGGUCAAGGUGCAAGUUUUUCUAAACAAAAGGAGGCAUCGGGUUAAACCUGUCUUCAGCAAAUUCUACUAAAGUAGACAGUCAAUCAUUUGGGGUUAUUGACAAACAUGGAUUUGAUGACUCCGAUGAAGAGGGCACUCGCCGUUUCAUGGUAAAUGUUAUCGAGCCACAAUUCAAUCUUCACUCUGAAGAUGCCAAUGGAAGAUUUUUGCUUGCUGCUAUUAGUGGAAGGGUUUUAGCUCGGUCAUUCCAUGCAGUUCUUAACGUUCGUAUAGAGAUGAUCAAACAAGCGCUCGGGAGUGGAG